CCGAAAAUCUUCGUGCGCUUGCGCCCCCUGAGAUGUUCCAACGGUAGAGUUGAGAACUUAUUGCCGAACAUUAGAGAGUUACCGAUGUCGACAUGAUCCUGGCUGCAUUCACCUUCCGAGUAACACUGUCUUCGAAAUGCAAAACACAGUGUUCGUACGCACAGGGAAAACCUGAAAAACUGGGAAAACUCAGGGAGUUUCUUACAGCAGAGAGAAGUCAGGGAAUUUCGAAAAUAGGACUGGAAUUUUAAGUUUCUUGGAGAAAUUCGUUCUUAUACGUACAUUACUUGAUAUCAAACCUACUUUCUUUUUUUUCUUACUGAAAAUCGCUGGCUGUUGUUUGUAAAUUAGUAGUCGGACAGUAAAUUAAUUACUAGGUAAUAUUGAAGGCUGGAACACCUCGAAAAGUCAGGGAAUUUCGGGUUCCAAAAAGCGUACGAACCCUGAAA